rnacentral:rRNA from 1 species
UACGGAGGGUGCAAGCGUUAAUCGGAAUUACUGGGCGUAAAGGGUGCGUAGGUGGUUUAAUAAGUUAUCUGUGAAAUCCCCGGGCUCAACCUGGGCAGGUCAGAUAAGACUGUUAGACUGGAGUAUAGCAGAGGGUAGUGGAAUUUCCGGUGUAGCGGUGAAAUGCGUAGAGAUCGGAAGGAACACCAGUGGCGAAGGCGGCUACCUGGGCUGAUACUGACACUGAGGCACGAAAGCGUGGGGAGCAAACAGG